GGCUCCGGGACCCUCCGACGGGGUUCAGUCGGGCUCCGGGACCCUCCGCUGCGGGGUUCAGUCGGGCUCCGGGGCUCAGCCGUGCUCCCGGACUCUCCGACGGGGCUCCGCUGUGGGGUUCAGCCGGGCUCCGGGACCCCCCGACGGGGUUCAGCCCUGCUCCGGGACCCUCCGCUGCGGGGUUCAGCCCGGCUCCGGGGGUUCAGCCGGGCUCCGGGACCCUCCGACAGGGCUCAGCCCGGCUCCGGGAUCCUCCUCUGCGGGCUUCAGCCAGGCUCCGGG